rnacentral:lncRNA from 1 species
UAAAAUCUGAAUGAAAUAGGUUUUACAAAUUAUCAUUACCUGGUAUACAUUGGUAUAUUACAAUAAGAAGUUGUUGAAAUGUCUGAAGUGCAUAAAAUGUUUAUCUUAAUAGAAACAUUAUUUCAUAGCUUCUUAAAAAGCCAGAAAAAGGAGAUGACCUGGCCGGUGAAACGAAUAAGGAAAAAGGAGAAGAAGCUGAUAUUGAAGAAAGCAAAUGGGAAAAAUCACCUGGAUCUGGGAGUAUAAAAUCCAAGCCAUUGGAGGGCUCACCAAAAGAACUUAAGGAAAAGUCACAAAAUGAUAGUGAUAAAGAGCAAAUGGAUUUGGAGAGAAGAUUUCGAGAAAAAGACCUUGAAAGACAAAGAUAUCGGUUGGAUGAUGGCAGAAAGCAUAGAGCUCACUAUGAAUUUGACAAGUUUAUGAGAAGGAAUGAAGAAGAGCUGAAAUGGGGGAAAGGAUACAGCCAAGACAGAGGGAAGAAAGGGAACCACAACUACAGCUUCACUGUGGAGGCCGUAGACAAACUGGGAUCGUCCAGCCAUGCAGUUAUACCAGCCAGGAGCUCGCAUUCGAACACAUACGGGAUCUACAAGUAAGAUCUAUGACUGCAGUGGGAAGUCCUCUGAAGAUGCCUGCGAUAGAAAGUAUGAGGUAGAUAAUUCAACUGGAGGUGGUUCUGAGAAGAGUGAAGAGGCAGAAUAAACAUUGGGGUAGAAAACUUGUGAAAAAAAUG